GGUGGCUCAGUGGUAGAGUGCUUGCCUUGGAUGUAUGAGGCCCUGGGUUUGAUUCCUCAGCACCA
rnacentral:tRNA from 1 species